GGGGAGUUAGCUCAGCUGGUUAGAGCGCUACCUUGACAUGGUAGAGGUCAUCGGUUCGAUUCCGAUACUGCCCACUA
rnacentral:tRNA from 1 species